UGGGGAAUAUUGGACAAUGGGCGCAAGCCUGAUCCAGCCAUGCCGCGUGAGUGAUGAAGGCCCUAGGGUUGUAAAGCUCUUUCACCGGUGAAGAUAAUGACGGUAACCGGAGAAGAAGCCCCGGCUAACUUCGUGCCAGCAGCCGCGGUAAUACGAAGGGGGCUAGCGUUGUUCGGAUUUACUGGGCGUAAAGCGCACGUAGGCGGACUAUUAAGUCAGGGGUGAAAUCCCGGGGCUCAACCCCGGAACUGCCUUUGAUACUGGUAGUCUUGAGUUCGAGAGAGGUGAGUGGAAUUCCGAGUGUAGAGGUGAAAUUCGUAGAUAUUCGGAGGAACCCCAGUGGCGAAGGCGGCUCACUGGCUCGAUACUGACGCUGCGGUGCGAAAGCGUGGGGAGCAAACAGG
rnacentral:rRNA from 1 species